GCCCGAAUAGCUCAGUCGGUAGAGCGUCGCAUUCGUAAUGCGCAGGUCGCGAGUUCGAUUCUCGCUUCGGGCUCCA
rnacentral:tRNA from 1 species